rnacentral:tRNA from 2 species
GGAGAGGUGGCCGAGUGGUUGAAGGCAGCAGUCUUGAAAACUGCCAGGCGUGUGAGCGUCUCGAGGGUUCGAAUCCCUCUCUCUCCUCCA